UGCGGAAGGAUCAUUAUCGUACAAUGCAGGGUGCUGGGGUUGUCGCUGACCUUUGAAAGGGUCGUGCACACCUUGGUGCUUUCACACAUAAUCCAUCUCACACCUUUUGUGCAUCACCGCGUGGGGGGCCCCUUUUAGCUAGUUCUGAAGGGGGCUUUCACGUUUUUACAACACACCCUUUUAAUGCAAUAUGUAGAAUGUCUUACUUUUUGCGAUCACACGCAAUCAAUACAACUUUCAACAACGGAUCUCUUGGCUCUCGCAUCGAUGAAGAACGCAGCGAAAUGCGAUACGUAAUGUGAAUUGCAGAAUUCAGUGAAUCAUCGAAUCUUUGAACGCACCUUGCGCCCUUUGGCAUUCCGAAGGGCACACCCGUUUGAGUGUCGUGACAUCCUCAAACCUUCUUGGUUUCUUGACUGAGAAGGCUUUGGACUUUGGAGGCUUUUGCUGGACCUUCCCUUGNUGAAGCCAGCUCCUCUGAAAUGAAUUAGUGGGGUCUGCUUUGCUGAUCCUUGACGUGAUAAGAUGCUUCUACGUCUUGGGUUUUGCACUGUUUGCUCUAGAUCCUGCUUCUAACUGUCUUGUAGAAGACAAAUGGUCAACUUGACCCACAAAUCUUGACCUCAAAUCGGGUGAGACUACCCGCUGAACUUAAGCAUAUCAAUAAGCGGAGGAAAAGAAACUAACAAGGAUUCCCCUAGUAACUGCGAGUGAAGCGGGAAAAGCUCAAAUUUAAAAUCUGGUGGUCUUUGGCCAUCCGAGUUGUAAUUUAGAGAAGCGUCUUCCGCGCUGGACCAUGCACAAGUCUCCUGGAAUGGAGCGUCAUAGAGGGUGAGAAUCCCGUCUUUGGCAUGGACCCCCAGGGCUUCUGUGAUGCGCUCUCAAAGAGUCGAGUUGUUUGGGAAUGCAGCUCAAAAUGGGUGGUGAACUCCAUCUAAAGCUAAAUAUUGGCGAGAGACCGAUAGCGAACAAGUACCGUGAGGGAAAGAUGAAAAGCACUUUGGAAAGAGAGUGAAACAGUACGUGAAAUUGUUGAAAGGGAAACGCUUGAAGUCAGUCGCGUCGGCUGAGACUCAACCUUGCCUCGGCUUGGUGUACUUCUCAGCUGACGGGUCAGCAUCAAUUUUGAUCCUUGGAUAAUGGCAAGGGAAAGGUAGCACCUUUACAGGUGUGUUAUAGUCCUCUGUCGAAUGCAAGGGUUGGGAUUGAGGAACUCAGCACGCGCCUUGUCGGUGUCGGG
rnacentral:rRNA from 1 species